rnacentral:rRNA from 1 species
GAUGAACGCUGGCGGCGUGCCUAAUACAUGCAAGUCGAGCGAACAGAUGAGGAGCUUGCUCCUCUGACGUUAGCGGCGGACGGGUGAGUAACACGUGGAUAACCUACCUAUAAGACUGGGAUAACUUCGGGAAACCGGAGCUAAUACCGGAUAAUAUAUUGAACCGCAUGGUUCAAUAGUGAAAGACGGUUUUGCUGUCACUUAUAGAUGGAUCCGCGCCGCAUUAGCUAGUUGGUAAGGUAACGGCUUACCAAGGCAACGAUGCGUAGCCGACCUGAGAGGGUGAUCGGCCAAACGGGAACUGAGACACGGUCCAGACUCCUACGGGAGGCAGCAGUAGGGAAUCUUCCGCAAUGGGCGAAAGCCUGACGGAGCAACGCCGCGUGAGUGAUGAAGGUGUUCGGAUCGUAAAACUCUGUUAGUAGGGAAGAACAAAUGUGUAAGUAACUAUGCACGUCUUGACGGUACCUAAUCAGAAAGCCACGGCUAACUACGUG